rfam:Beta vulgaris subsp. vulgaris 0053.scaffold00196.con0025.1, whole genome shotgun sequence.
GAAUGGCAUCUAUAAGCAUGAGAUGUUAUCCGAUACAAUCUUCCUACAAAAAUUUCUGCAUUUCCUUUUCGCAGUUCUGAAGUUAAUUCUGCGAGUCUCAAACUGACAGAAACAUUG